UUGGAGGGCAAGUCUGGUGCCAGCAGCCGCGGUAAUUCCAGCUCCAAUAGCGUAUAUUAAAGUUGUUGCAGUUAAAAAGCUCGUAGUUGAAUUUCGGGGUCAGCAGGUUGGCCGUGCCAAUGGUAUGAACUGGCCUUGCUGAUUCCUCCCUCUUGAUGAGCCGUAAUGUCAUUAAUUUGGUGUUGCGGGGAAUCAGGACUGUUACUUUGAAAAAAUUAGAGUGUUUAAAGCAGGCAAGCGCUUGAAUACAUUAGCAUGGAA
rnacentral:rRNA from 1 species